CCUGUCUAGGAAUCAAGGGGUAGAAGUGAAAGUGGCACCACUCACCGUCACCCCUAGUGACUCAUUAGCAAAACGUUUGCUUCCUGUUCCUGCAACGUUACAUUCUGCUGUCAAUUAAGGCCUAGAGGUCUUAGUUCCAGAGGGAAGAAUGUUGCCACCAGAAGACACAAUGAUUCAAUUGAACUGGAAGUUAAGACUAUCACCUUGCCACUUUGGGCUCCUCCUGCCUCUAAGUCAACAGGCUAAGAGGAGUUACAGUGUUGACUGGGGUGAUUGACCCGAACUAUCAAGAUAAAAUCAGUCUACUACUACACAAUGGAGGUCAAGAAGAGCAUGUCUGGAAUACAGGAGAUUCCUUAGGCCAUCUCUUAGUAUUACCAUGCCCUGUGAUUAAGAUCAAUGGGAAACUAUAAAAAUGCAAUCCAGGCAUGACUACAAAUAACCCAGGCCCUUCAAGGAUGAAGAUUUAGUUCACUCCACCAGAUGCUCGUGUCAAAGAGAAGAGCUACAAGACUGUUUCUGCCCCCAAGGUGCUCCAGUCCAUUGGAGAAGCAAACACAUAACUGAGAAUGACUCACCUUGUGAUGGCUGCUAUGAUGAGGUUCAUACCUGGUGCUACAGGACACAGAGAGGCAUAAUAAUGUGGUCACACUAAUGCAAGAAGUAGAUUCCCAUGGUCUUGGGCACUCUGCCCCUGUGGCUUUGCAGGGUACAGCCUCCCUUCUGUCUGAUUUCACAGGCCGGCAUUGAAUGUCUGUGACUUUUCCAGGUGGAGUCUUGCUCUGUCACCCAGGUUGGAGUGCAGUGGCACGAUCUUGGCUCACUGCAACCUCCACCUCCUUGGUUCAAGUGAUUCUACUGCCUCAGCCUCCCAAGUAGCUGGGAUUACAGGCAUGCACCACCAGGCCUGGCUAAUUUUUGUAUUUUUAGUAGAGAUGGGGUUUCACCAUGUUGGCCAGGCUGCUCUUGAACUCCUGACCUCAGGUGAUCUGCCUGCCUCUGCCUCCCAAAGUAUUGGGAUUACAGGCGUGAGCCACUGUGGCCAGGCCGAACUACCUUUUUCAUAUUACAUAAGAUACAGUCUUAGAUCUGACUGUUCAUUAGGCACAAUGCCUAGAACAGUGGUCCUCAACCUUUUGGCACCAGGGACUGGUUUCAUGGAGAACAAUUUUUCCAUGGACCAGGGUGGGGGAUGGUUUUGGG
rnacentral:lncRNA from 1 species